UACAGAGGUCCCAAGCGUUGUUCGGAUUCACUGGGCGUAAAGGGUGCGCAGGUGGGCUGUCAAGUUCGAUGUGAAAGCCCCGGGCUUAACCCGGGAAUGGCAUUGAAGACUGGUGGUCUGGAGGGUUGGAGGGGGGACUGGAAUUCUUGGUGUAGCAGUGAAAUGCGUAGAUAUCAAGAGGAACACCAGUGGCGAAGGCGAGUCCCUGGACAACACCUGACACUGAGGCACGAAAGCCGGGGGAGCAAACAGG
rnacentral:rRNA from 1 species